CUGGGUAGUUAAAUGGAAUAAAGAAAGAUGGUUGUGGACAGCAUGUCCACUGCAGGUUAGAUAAAAAACCUAUUUGUCUGUUGUUGGUACUUUCCAAUAUUCAAAUAGUUUUCUGAGAUUAUCCAGUCUGUUGUUUGAAUGUGAGGUUUCAUUGCCCUGCUGCUCUAUUCUAAUAAA